AGCUUUGCGCAGUGGCAGUAUCGUAGCCAAUGAGGUUUAUCCGAGGCGCGAUUAUUGCUAAUUAAAAAACUGAUCCUUCAUGAUGAAAGGUAAGAAGUCAAAUGUUAUUUCCAAAGCCCAUUUCUCAUUGG
rnacentral:snRNA from 1 species